rnacentral:rRNA from 1 species
GACGAACGCUGGCGGUGUGCUUAACACAUGCAAGUCGAACGGUAAGGCCCUUUCGGGGGUACACGAGUGGCGAACGGGUGAGUAACACGUGAGUAACCUGCCCUCAUCUCUGGGAUAACAGUCGGAAACGGUUGCUAAUACUGGAUAUGAGCUUGCAAGGCAUCUUGUGGGUUGGAAAGAUUUUUUUUGGUUGGGGAUGGACUCGCGGCCUAUCAGCUUGUUGGUGAGGUAGUGGCUCACCAAGGCUUCGACGGGUAGCCGGCCUGAGAGGGCGGCCGGCCACAUGGGGACUGAGAUACGGCCCAAACUCCUACGGGAGGCAGCAGUGGGGAAUAUUGCACAAUGGACGGAAGUCUGAUGCAGCAACGCCGCGUGCGGGAUGACGGCCUUCGGGUUGUAAACCGCUUUCAAUUGUGACGAAGCUUUUUUGUGACGGUAGCAGUAGAAGAAGCACCGGCUAACUACGUG